CCUACGGGCGGCAGCAGUGAGGAAUAUUGGUCAAUGGUCGGGAGACUGAACCAGCCAAGCCGCGUGAGGGAGGAAGGUACAGAGUAUCGUAAACCUCUUUUGUCAGGGAACAAAGACUGGGACGCGUCCCCGGAUGAGUGUACCUGAAGAAAAAGCAUCGGCUAACCCCGUGCCAGCAGCCGCGGUAAUACGGAGGAUGCGAGCGUUAUCCGGAUUUAGUGGGUUUAAAGGGUGCGCAGGCGGUCUGUUAAGUCAGCGGUCAAAGCCCGGGGCUCAACCCCGGCCCGCCGUUGAAACUGGCAGUCUCGAGUUGGAGAGAAGUAUGCGGAAUGCGCGGUGUAGCGGUGAAAUGCAUAGAUAUCGCGCAGAACUCCGAUUGCGAAGGCAGCGUACCGGCGCCAGACUGACGCUGAGGCACGAAAGCGUGGGGAUCGAACAGGAUUAGAUACCCUGGUAGUC
rnacentral:rRNA from 1 species